rnacentral:rRNA from 1 species
GAUGAACGCUGGCGGCGUGCCUAAUACAUGCAAGUCGAGCGAACGGACGAGAAGCUUGCUUCUCUGAUGUUAGCGGCGGACGGGUGAGUAACACGUGGAUAACCUACCUAUAAGACUGGGAUAACUUCGGGAAACCGGAGCUAAUACCGGAUGAUAUUUUGAACCGCAUGGUUCAAAAGUGAAAGACGGUCUUGCUGUCACUUAUAGAUGGAUCCGCGCUGCAUUAGCUAGUUGGUAAGGUAACGGCUUACCAAGGCAACGAUGCAUAGCCGACCUGAGAGGGUGAUCGGCCACACUGGAACUGAGACACGGUCCAGACUCCUACGGGAGGCAGCAGUAGGGAAUCUUCCGCAAGGGGCGAAAGCCUGACGGAGCAACGCCGCGUGAGUGAUGAAGGUCUUCGGAUCGUAAAACUCUGUUAUUAGGGAAGAACAUAUGUGUAAGUAACUGUGCACAUCUUGACGGUACCUAAUCAGAAAGCCACGGCUAACUACGUGCCAGCAGCCGCGGUAAUACGUAGGUGGCAAGCGUUGUCCGGAAUUAUUGGGCGUAAAGCGCGCGUAGGCGGUUUUUUAAGUCUGAUGUGAAAGCCCACGGCUCAACCGUGGAGGGUCAUUGGAAACUGGAAAACUUGAGUGCAGAAGAGGAAAGUGGAAUUCCAUGUGUAGCGGUGAAAUGCGCAGAGAUAUGGAGGAACACCAGUGGCGAAGGCGACUUUCUGGUCUGUAACUGACGCUGAUGUGCGAAAGCGUGGGGAUCAAACAGGAUUAGAUACCCUGGUAGUCCACGCCGUAAACGAUGAGUGCUAAGUGUUAGGGGGUUUCCGCCCCUUAGUGCUGCAGCUAACGCAUUAAGCACUCCGCCUGGGGAGUACGACCGCAAGGUUGAAACUCAAAGGAAUUGACGGGGACCCGCACAAGCGGUGGAGCAUGUGGUUUAAUUCGAAGCAACGCGAAGAACCUUACCAAAUCUUGACAUCCUUUGACAACUCUAGAGAUAGAGCCUUCCCCUUCGGGGGACAAAGUGACAGGUGGUGCAUGGUUGUCGUCAGCUCGUGUCGUGAGAUGUUGGGUUAAGUCCCGCAACGAGCGCAACCCUUAAGCUUAGUUGCCAUCAUUAAGUUGGGCACUCUAAGUUGACUGCCGGUGACAAACCGGAGGAAGGUGGGGAUGACGUCAAAUCAUCAUGCCCCUUAUGAUUUGGGCUACACACGUGCUACAAUGGACAAUACAAAGGGCAGCGAAACCGCGAGGUCAAGCAAAUCCCAUAAAGUUGUUCUCAGUUCGGAUUGUAGUCUGCAACUCGACUACAUGAAGCUGGAAUCGCUAGUAAUCGUAGAUCAGCAUGCUACGGUGAAUACGUUCCCGGGUCU